rnacentral:snRNA from 1 species
AUAAAAAAAUAGUUGUCAAUAUUUACAAUAUCAUAUCAUUUUUAUUAAAUGUAACAUUUAAUAUAUUUUGAUAAUAUGUUUCAUUUGAAUUGAAAAUAUUUUUCUAGUUUUCUAUAAAUUUAGUCAAACUUAUUUUUAUAAACUUAUGAAAAAAAUGAAUAUGGCUA